UUUAUUGGAGAGUUUGAUCCUGGCUCAGGAUGAACGCUGGCGGCGUGCCUAAUACAUGCAAGUCGAGCGAAUGGAUUGAGAGCUUGCUCUCAAGAAGUUAGCGGCGGACGGGUGAGUAACACGUGGGUAACCUGCCCAUAAGACUGGGAUAACUCCGGGAAACCGGGGCUAAUACCGGAUAACAUUUUGAACUGCAUGGUUCGAAAUUGAAAGGCGGCUUCGGCUGUCACUUAUGGAUGGACCCGCGUCGCAUUAGCUAGUUGGUGAGGUAACGGCUCACCAAGGCAACGAUGCGUAGCCGACCUGAGAGGGUGAUCGGCCACACUGGGACUGAGACACGGCCCAGACUCCUACGGGAGGCAGCAGUAGGGAAUCUUCCGCAAUGGACGAAAGUCUGACGGAGCAACGCCGCGUGAGUGAUGAAGGCUUUCGGGUC
rnacentral:rRNA from 1 species